GUCUUAUUGAUAAUAAUUUUAAGUCUAAUCUGCCCAAUGAAUUAUUAAAUGGCUGCAGUAUUUUAACUGUACAAAGGUAGCAUAGUAAUUAGUUUCUUAAUUAGGAACUGGAAUGAAUGAUUGAACGAGACAAUAACUGUCUUAAUUUUAAUUGAAGAAUUUUAUUUUUAAGUAAAAAAGCUUAAAUAUAUUUAAUAGACGAGAAGACCCUAUAGAAUUUUAUAUAAUAAUUAUAAAUAAUGAUUGGAAAAUAGUUUUUAUUUAUAAAUAGUUAUAUUUAGUUGGGGUGAUUGAAAAAUUUAUUUAACUUUUUUUUUAUAUGUUCAUUAAUUUAUGUUUAAUUGAUCCAAUAUUUUUGAUUAUAAGAUUAAAUUACCUUAGGGAUAACAGCGUAAUUUUUUUAGAGAGCUCUAAUCGAUAAAAGAGAUUGCGACCUCGAUGUUGGAUUAAAGUUUAUUUUUAAUGUAGAAGUUAAGAUGUUAGGUCUGUUCGACCUUUAAUACUUUACAUGAUCUGAGUUUAAACCGGUGUGAGCCAGGUUGGAUUCUAUCUUUAAUUACUUAUAAUAUUUUAGUACGAAAGGACCAGAUAUUUAUUAAAUUAAUUAUUUAAAGAAUAUUAUUAUUAUUUUGGCAGAUUAGUGCUUUAAAUUUAGAAUUUAAAUAUGUAUAAAUUAUACAGAUAAUAC
rnacentral:misc_RNA from 1 species